CCUACGGGAGGCAGCAGUGAGGAAUAUUGGUCAAUGGGCGCAAGCCUGAACCAGCCACGUAGCGUGAAGGAUGCCUGCCCUACGGGUUGUAAACUUCUUUUAUAAAGGAAUAAAGUGAAGCACGUGUGCCUUUUUGUAUGUACUUUAUGAAUAAUGAUCGGCUAACUCCGUGCCAGCAGCCGCGUGAAUACGGAGGAUCCGAGCGUUAUCCUGAUUGAUUUGGUUUAAAGGGAGCGUAGACGGGUUGUUAAGUCAGUUUUGAAAGUUGGGGGCUCACCCGGAAAAUUGCAAUUGAUACUGGCAGUCUUGAGUACAGUUGAGGGAGGCGGAAUUCGUGGUGUAGCGGUGAAAUGCUUAGAUA
rnacentral:rRNA from 1 species